GCGUUGGCUGUGUAUAGGUGGCCGGUUAGCUCAGCUGGUUAGAGCGUGGUGCUAAUAACGCCAAGGUCCUGGGUUCGAUCCGCAUACUGGCCAG
ensembl:miRNA